UCUCUCUCUCUCUCUCUCUCUCGAUGCGCGCGCGCACACGCACACAGGAACGUCGGUCAAAGAUGACGGACGGCAAACACGCCCUUCGUGGCCCUCCCGGCUGGGUCGCUGCGUCCCCUGCGCUUUUUUGGCUGAAAAGAAGCAUCUUUUCCAUCCAAGUGUCGCAUUUCACCCUCCAAAUCUUUUUAUGUUGAAGAAAAUGCUGCUCUCACUCUCUUCCGUCGAAGCUAGUGGAGCUUCCAACGUUCCUGCUGCUGCUGCUCUGUUUUAUUCUCUUUCUCUCACCUGCUGAUGCCAGGAAGGUUGGGCUCUGUCACAUCCUUUGCGCUUUGGGUUAGAUUAACCGGUUACAGUUCUCAAAGAUCGACCUUUUCCUCUCUUUCCUGAUUCAUUUCCAUAGAUAUUUCGGUCUUUGAGGUGCCAACUUUUGUCUGCAAGCCAACCUUUUACUAACAGGUAAACAGUGUCUUGUGGAGUGGUUUUUCUUCAUCGCUGUUGUUUUGGGUCUCUCCAGCAUCUGUUCUGAACUCUCCCCGUCACCGAACGGUUUCAAUGCUUCUCUAUUUACGACACUAGUGGUUUCUGCUAAAGGAGGCGUCUCCCUCCCGAGUUCCGGAGUCGCAGAAACAGGGUUUCGGCUGGUUUUGGCGUGGUCCGGAAGAGGAGGUCGUGAUCGUACAGGUUGCCGAUGCCGGACCGUCUGCGGCUCGGAUCGGCGAUCAAGCACAACUCUUGCAGAUUUCGAUGCCCGAUUUGAUGGAGAAUCCCAUUGCAGUUUGACAGCCCAAGAUGUGCGAAGAUGAUAAUUGGUCGAUUGCAAUGUUUUCUAAGAAAUGGAAUUACAUAUAUUUAUCGCGAAAUUCAGAGAAUUAACAACAAAGUUAGAUGGAGGACAAUGUCUAUUGUUGCAAUUGUUCCCACUGUUCUGACGGCAAUUGGGGUUAUGAUCUUAUAAACCUUUCCUCCUUGUGCAUCCAACCUCUAUGUCAUCUCCUGCAUAACAGCAAGGGAAGCUUUUCAGGCUGAAACAGCUAUUUGCAAGAUGUGUCCAUGGCAGCUUAUGAUUUUACAACAGCUAUGCUCAUACAACAAUCAAGAACAGAUACAGAUUAUGAUUUUACUAUAAUCAUAAACACAGUAAUGCGUGCCCGAAAGAUUAUCUUCCCAAAUACUUUUUCUCUUAAGUAAACAUGUUCUACAAACUUGUUUGAUUAACUUGAAUCUCCCUGCACAAGUUUCCAGUUUUUUUAUCAGUCUUUGCUUUUUGAGCAUAGUGAACAAGUUUGGCAAAAGUAUGCCUUCUUGCAGUUCUUGUACAUAUCUGGCAAUUCGUGGAGACUAAGCGCCGGUCUUUGAAAGAGAUCGAGAGUGCUCUUAUUGCAGCAGGUUGAUAUAAGAUUACCCAAAUCAUUCUGCCAAUGAGAAAUUUGUCCUUUUGGGUUUUCAAAAGCUUGGGCAUAUCGAGGAUAAUGUAGUCCUGACUCAAGUAAUUCAAACCUGAUGGCCCUCAAAACUUUAGAGAGGGAGAGAGAGAACUUGGCAUUUGUUCUAAUUGAAAGUCUUAUUCUCAGUCAUAAGGCUUAUUGCAGUAAUGUGAACUGAAUGUAUAGUCUGUCCCAAAGACAUGGAUUGGACUCAAUCGUCAAGUUUCAAACUGCAGUUUGAUUGAAACUGUGAGCUUGCAAGCUUUGUCUGCACAUCAGAAUGUAUAGCAGCUACUGCUACUUUUGUUGUCUGCUCUCCUGGUCAGUUGACCAAUUCUUAUUUGGUCAAAAGAAAAUAAUACACUUUUGUUUGUUCUAAGUGAUCUUGUGCUUAUGCUAA